rnacentral:rRNA from 1 species
AUAUCAAUAAGCGGAGGAAAAGAAACCAACAGGGAUUGCCCUAGUAACGGCGAGUGAAGCGGCAAUAGCUCAAAUUUGAAAUCUGGUCCUUACGGGGCUCGAGUUGUAAUUUGUAGAGGAUGCUUCGGCUUUGGCCCCGGGCCAAGUCCCCUGGAACGGGGCGUCCGAGAGGGUGAGAGCCCCGUAUUCUCCUGGGUGCCCUUUGCCGUGUGAAGCUCCUUCGACGAGUCGAGUUGUUUGGGAAUGCAGCUCUAAGCGGGAGGUAAAUUUCUUCUAAAGCUAAAUACCGGCCAGAGACCGAUAGCGCACAAGUAGAGUGAUCGAAAGAUGAAAAGCACUUUGGAAAGAGAGUUAAAGAGCACGUGAAAUUGUUGAAAGGGAAGCUCUUGCCGCCAGACUUGCCGCGGUUGCUCAGCCGCCCUCCGGGGUGGUGUACUCUUCCGCCGGCAGGCCAGCGCCGGUUCGGGCGGCCGGAUAAAGGCCCCGGGAAUGUAGCACCCUCCGGGGUGUGUUAUAGCCCGGGGUUUAAUGCGGCCAGCCCGGUCCGAGGGACGCGUUCGCGAGGACGCUGGCGUAAUGGUUGCAAGCGACCCGUCUUGAAACACGGACCAAGGAGUCUAACAUCUGUGCGAGUGUUUGGGCGUCAAACCCACACGCGAAAUGAAAGUGAACGGAGGUGGGAACCCCCUCGAGGGGCGCACCAUCGACCGAUCCUGAUGUGUUCGGAUGGAUUUGAGUAAGAGCAUAGCUGUUGGGACCCGAAAGAUGGUGAACUAUUCCCGGAUAGGGUGAAGCCAGGGGAAACUCUGGUGGAGGCUCGCAGCGGUUCUGACGUGCAAAUCGAUCGUCAAAUCUAGGAAUAGGGGCGAAAGACUAAUCGAACCAU